rnacentral:rRNA from 1 species
UACGGAGGAUCCGAGCGUUAUCCGGAUUUAUUGGGUUUAAAGGGAGCGUAGGUGGACAGUUAAGUCAGUUGUGAAAGUUUGCGGCUCAACCGUAAAAUUGCAGUUGAUACUGGCUGUCUUGAGUACAGUAGAGGUGGGCGGAAUUCGUGGUGUAGCGGUGAAAUGCUUAGAUAUCACGAAGAACUCCGAUUGCGAAGGCAGCUCACUGGACUGCAACUGACACUGAUGCUCGAAAGUGUGGGUAU